rnacentral:rRNA from 1 species
UACUGGAAACGGUAGCUAAUACCGCAUAACGUCGCAAGACCAAAGAGGGGGACCUUCGGGCCUCUUGCCAUCGGAUGUGCCCAGAUGGGAUUAGCUAGUAGGUGGGGUAACGGCUCACCUAGGCGACGAUCCCUAGCUGGUCUGAGAGGAUGACCAGCCACACUGGAACUGAGACACGGUCCAGACUCCUACGGGAGGCAGCAGUGGGGAAUAUUGCACAAUGGGCGCAAGCCUGAUGCAGCCAUGCCGCGUGUAUGAAGAAGGCCUUCGGGUUGUAAAGUACUUUCAGCGGGGAGGAAGGGAGUAAAGUUAAUACCUUUGCUCAUUGACGUUACCCGCAGAAGAAGCACCGGCUAACUCCGUGCCAGCAGCCGCGGUAAUACGGAGGGUGCAGGCGUUAAUCGGAAUUACUGGGCGUAAAGCGCACGCAGGCGGUUUGUUAAGUCAGAUGUGAAAUCCCCGGGCUCAACCUGGGAACUGCAUCUGAUACUGGCAAGCUUGAGUCUCGUAGAGGGGGGUAGAAUUCCAGGUGUAGCGGUGAAAUGCGUAGAGAUCUGGAGGAAUACCGGUGGCGA